GGAAAAGACACUUUCCUACUUCAGACGGUGGUUACCUGUCGGUGUUUAAACAAUUGCUCAUUUUGUACUGGGUAGUGGAUGAAAGACCAGUUUGUUAUUGUACGCUUUCCUAGUGCCAUGCUCUACAAAAUCAUGCGUGAAUUUCUCCUAAUUAUCUUCAGAAACUAGGAAGGAGUCUUGGUCACAAAAGUCUCCGUGGUAGAAGAGUAUAC
rnacentral:lncRNA from 1 species